UAAACCUUCGAGGAGCAGGACCACCGUCAGAGCGCCGUAAGUCUCUCUCUCUCUCUCUUUGAGACAGGCUUUUAGAUCUCCACUGUAAGUCAACCUCCAUCUUCCAUGAAACCCACUAGACGGAUUUUAUAGAGAUUAUGAAGGUUGAUCAGAUAAGGUACUAAAUGCAGACCCUCUGCUCAUAGGAAAUCAGCUUCAGGAUUUUAAGUUUUAUCCACCAACUAGGUCUAUUUUUCUUGUAUAUACUUGGGCUAUGCCUGUCGGUCUGAUCUAGAGCUCCUCCACGGGGACCGGAGGUCGUAUGGCAUGUGGCGACGUGCGUUUGAAUGUGGACGAUUUGGGUUGAUGGUUCUAAGUAG